AGGGCGUAUGGUGGAUGCCUAGGCAUUAGAAGACGAAGAAGGACGCGACAAACAGCGAAAUUGCCUCGGGGAGUUGUAAGUAAGCAUUGAUCCGGGGGUAUCCGAAUGAGGAAACUUACCAAGAAAGGUAUCCUAAAAUGAAUACAUAGUUUUAGUGAAGGAAACCCUGUGAACUGAAACAUCUUAGUAACAGGAGGAAAAGAAAGAAAAAUCGAUUGCCUUAGUAGUGGCGAGCGAAACGGCAAGAGCCCAAACCAAUCUACGGAUUGGGGUAGUAGGACACUUCGAAACGAGAAUAAGAGCUAAAGAUAGCUAAAUGAUUUGGGAAAGUCAGUCAAAGAAGGUGAAAACCCUGUAGGCGAAAUCUGAAGCACUCAGAAGUGAAUCCUGAGUACGGCGGGACACGAGAAAUCCUGUCGGAAUCAACGGGGACCAUCCCGUAAGGCUAAAUACUCUCUAAUGACCGAUAGUGAACAAGUACCGUGAGGGAAAGGUGAAAAGAACCCCGGGAGGGGAGUGAAAUAGAGAAUCUGAAACCAUAUGCUUACAAAAAGUUCGAGCCCGUUAAAGGGUGAGAGCGUGCCUUUUGCAGAAUGAGCCGGCGAGUUAUGGUAUUGUGCAAGGUUAAGUAGAAAAUACGGAGCCGAAGCGAAAGCGAGUCUUAAAAGGGCGAAAAAGUACAAUGCUGUAGACCCGAAACUGAGUGAUCUAGCCAUGAGCAGGUUGAAGUGUAGGUAACACUACAUGGAGGACCGAACCAGGGUACUAUGUAACGUGCUUGGAUGACUUGUGGUUAGCGGUGAAAUUCCAAUCGAACUCAGAGAUAGCUGGUUCUCCCCGAAAUAGGUUUAGGCCUAGCCUUGAAGAAUUUCCUCUGGAGGUAGAGCACUGAAUGUGGAAUGGCCGCGUCUAGCGGUACUGACUGCAAUCAACCUCCGAAUGCCAGAGUAGUUAGCUUCAGGAGUCAGUUUAUGGGUGAUAACGUCCAUAUGCGAGAGAAAAACAAUUCAGACCACCAGUUAAGGUCCCAAAAUAUAUGUUAAGUGGGAAAGGAUGUGGAGUUGCACGAACAGCUAGGAGGUUGGCUCAGAAGCAGCCAUCCUUUAAAGAGUGCGUAAUAGCUCACUAGUCGAGUGGCUCUGCGCCGAAAAUGUACCGGGGCUAAACAUAUUACCGAAACUGUGGAUUUAUGCGAUAGCAUAAGUGGUAGGGGAGCGUUCUAAGGGCGAUGAAGAUAGAUCGAGAGGACUAUUGGAGCGCUUAGAAGUGAGAAUGCCGGUGUGAGUAACGUAAGGUAGGUGAGAAUCCUACCCACUGAUUGACCAAGGAUUCCAGGGUCAAGUUCGUCUACCCUGGGUAAGUCAGGACCUAAGGCGAGGCUGAGAAGCGUAGUCGAUGGACAACAGGUUUAUAUUCCUGUACUAUUUAUAGGACUGAAGGAGUGACAAAGGAAGCUAGUAAGAGCCAUUUAAUGGAUUAUGGUCUAAGCACAAAGACUGAUACAUAGGAAAAUCCGUGAUAUCGAACGGUUGAAGUGUGAUGGUGAAGCAGUCUACGGACAGCGAAGUCUUAUGAGGCUAAACUUUUUAAAAAAGCUUCUAAAGAAAUGCUAUAAAUACCUGUACUAAGAACCAACGCAGGUGGUCAAGGAGAGAAUCCUAAGGUGAGCGAGAGAACUAUGGUUAAGGAACUCGGCACAAUGAUCCCGUAACUUCGGAAUAAGGGAAGGUCUUGAAAAAGACCCGCAGUGAAUAGGCCCAAGCGACUGUUUACCAAAAACACAGGUUUCUGCAAAAGCGUAAGCUGAAGUAUAGGAGCUGACGCCUGCCCAGUGCUGGAAGGUUAAGAUGAUUUGUAAGAUGGACGAAAGUCGAUAACAUCGAAGCAAUGAAUUGAAGCCCCAGUGAACGGCGGCGAUAACUAUAAUCGUCCAAAGGUAGCGAAAUUCCUUGUCAGGUAAGUUCUGACCCGCACGAAAGGCGUAACGAUUUGGGCACUGUCUCAACCAUAGACUCGGUGAAAUCUUAAUACCUGUGAAAAUGCAGGUUACCCGCGACAGGACGGAAAGACCCCAUGGAGCUUUACUGUAGCUUGAUAUUGAAAUCAGGUAGUUAAUGUAGAGGAUAGGUGGUAGACAAUGAAGUUAAGACGCUAGUCUUAAUGGAGUCGACCUUGGAAUACCACCCUUUGACUAUUUGAUUUCUAACUUGCACCCGUAAUCCGGGUGAA
rnacentral:rRNA from 1 species